rnacentral:precursor_RNA from 10 species
UUACAGAAGAGAUCCGCGCCUGUUGCCACAAACCCGUAGAUCCGAACUUGUGGUCAUAUUCCACACAAGCUUGUAUCUAUAGGUAUGUGUCUGUCUGGCAAGUGCACAAAGUGGUGU